CGCUGCUGGGCGACAACCACUGAAGACUCGGCUGCCAACCUACUUUACUCUCUAAUUUCUUCAGGUUGCCCAGAUGAGGACACAGUUAAUAUGAAACAUCUACCUGGAUUGAAUCGAGAAGGCUUUUCUUUUAAGGCAUUUGCCUUCGUUGGAGAUUACACUGAGGUGUACAUUCAUUGUUCAGUGAAGGUAUGUGGUGCCGCGAAGGCUCAAAAGUUUCGAGACGCAGGAUGCCC